AUUGAACGCUGGCGGCAUGCCUUACACAUGCAAGUCGAACGGCAGCACGGGAGCAAUCCUGGUGGCGAGUGGCGAACGGGUGAGUAAUGUAUCGGAACGUACCUUUCAGUGGGGGAUAACGUAGCGAAAGUUACGCUAAUACCGCAUAUUCUGUGAGCAGGAAAGCAGGGGAUCGCAAGACCUUGCGCUGAUUGAGCGGCCGAUAUCAGAUUAGCUAGUUGGUGAGGUAAAGGCUCACCAAGGCGACGAUCUGUAGCGGGUCUGAGAGGAUGAUCCGCCACACUGGAACUGAGACACGGUCCAGACUCCUACGGGAGGCAGCAGUGGGGAAUUUUGGACAAUGGGCGCAAGCCUGAUCCAGCCAUGCCGCGUGAGUGAAGAAGGCCUGGUUCGUAAGACGUCUUUCUAGCCGGGAA
rnacentral:rRNA from 1 species